CCCUUAGAUGUUCUGGGCCGCACGCGCGCUACACUGAUCAGUGCAACAAGCAUCCGUCCUUGGCCGACAGGCCCGGGCAAUCUUUGAACGCUGAUCGUGAUGGGGAUAGACUUUUGCAAUUUUUGGUCUUCAACGAGGAAUUCCUAGUAAACGCAAGUCAUCAACUUGCAUUGAUUACGUCCCUGCCCUUUGUACACACCGCCCGUCGCACCUACCGAUUGAAUGGUCCGGUGAAAUCUCGGGACGGCGGCUUGGUCGCUUGCGUCCGACUGCUGAAACUUGAUUAAACCAUAUCAUUUAGAGGAAGGUGAANUCGUANCA
rnacentral:rRNA from 1 species